UACAGAGGGGGCGAGCGUUGUUCGGAAUUACUGGGCGUAAAGGGCGCGUAGGCGGCCUUCUAAGUCGAACGUGAAAUCCCCGGGCUCAACCCGGGAACUGCGUCCGAUACUGGGAGGCUUGAAUCCGGGAGAGGGAUGUGGAAUUCCAGGUGUAGCGGUGAAAUGCGUAGAUAUCUGGAGGAACACCGGUGGCGAAGGCGGCUUCCUGGCCUGUUCUUGACGCUGAGGCGCGAAAGCUAGGGGAGCAAACGGG
rnacentral:rRNA from 1 species